AAAAAUGCACAUGCUGUGAGCUCGAUGAGUAGGGCGGGACACGUGGUAUCCUGUCUGAAUAUGGGGGGACCAUCCUCCAAGGCUAAAUACUCCUGACUGACCGAUAGUGAACCAGUACCGUGAGGGAAAGGCGAAAAGAACCCCGGCGAGGGGAGUGAAAAAGAACCUGAAACCGUGUACGUACAAGCAGUGGGAGCACGCUUAGGCGUGUGACUGCGUACCUUUUGUAUAAUGGGUCAGCGACUUAUAUUCUGUAGCAAGGUUAACCGAAUAGGGGAGCCGAAGGGAAACCGAGUCUUAACUGGGCGUUAAGUUGCAGGGUAUAGACCCGAAACCCGGUGAUCUAGCCAUGGGCAGGUUGAAGGUUGGGUAACACUAACUGGAGGACCGAACCGACUAAUGUUGAAAAAUUAGCGGAUGACUUGUGGCUGGGGGUGAAAGGCCAAUCAAACCGGGAGAUAGCUGGUUCUCCCCGAAAGCUAUUUAGGUAGCGCCUCGUGAAUUCAUCUCCGGGGGUAGAGCACUGUUUCGGCAAGGGGGUCAUCCCGACUUACCAACCCGAUGCAAACUGCGAAUACCGGAGAAUGUUAUCACGGGAGACACACGGCGGGUGCUAACGUCCGUCGUGAAGAGGGAAACAACCCAGACCGCCAGCUAAGGUCCCAAAGUCAUGGUUAAGUGGGAAACGAUGUGGGAAGGCCCAGACAGCCAGGAUGUUGGCUUAGAAGCAGCCAUCAUUUAAAGAAAGCGUAAUAGCUCACUGGUCGAGUCGGCCUGCGCGGAAGAUGUAACGGGGCUAAACCAUGCACCGAAGCUGCGGCAGCGACGCUUAUGCGUUGUUGGGUAGGGGAGCGUUCUGUAAGCCUGUGAAGGUGUGCUGUGAGGCAUGCUGGAGGUAUCAGAAGUGCGAAUGCUGACAUAAGUAACGAUAAAGCGGGUGAAAAGCCCGCUCGCCGGAAGACCAAGGGUUCCUGUCCAACGUUAAUCGGGGCAGGGUGAGUCGACCCCUAAGGCGAGGCCGAAAGGCGUAGUCGAUGGGAAACAGGUUAAUAUUCCUGUACUUGGUGUUACUGCGAAGGGGGGACGGAGAAGGCUAUGUUGGCCGGGCGACGGUUGUCCCGGUUUAAGCGUGUAGGCUGGUUUUCCAGGCAAAUCCGGAAAAUCAAGGCUGAGGCGUGAUGACGAGGCACUACGGUGCUGAAGCAACAAAUGCCCUGCUUCCAGGAAAAGCCUCU
rnacentral:rRNA from 1 species